GACGAACCGUGCGAACGUUGUUCGGAAUCACUGGGCUUAAAGGGCGCGUAGGCGGCCAGCCAAGUCCGGGGUGAAAGCCCCCGGCUCAACCGGGGAAGGGCCUUGGAUACUGGCUGGCUGGAGGGAGGUAGGGGCAGCUGGAACUUCCGGUGGAGCGGUGAAAUGUGUUGAUAUUGGAAGGAACGCCGGUGGCGAAAGCGGCACACUGGGUCUUAACUGACGCUGAGGCACGAAAGCCAGGGGAGCGAACGGG
rnacentral:rRNA from 1 species